rnacentral:rRNA from 1 species
UACGUAGGGUGCGAGCGUGUCCGGAAUUAUUGGGCGUAAAGAGCUCGUAGGCGGUUUGUCGCGUCGACUGUGAAAACCUGGGGCUUAACUCUGGGCCUGCAGUCGAUACGGGCAGACUUGAGUUCGGUAGGGGAGACUGGAAUUCCUGGUGUAGCGGUGAAAUGCGCAGAUAUCAGGAAGAACACCAAUGGCGAAAGCAGCUUUCUGGGACGGUACUGACGCUGAGACGCGAAAGCGUGGGGAGAACAGG